GGCCGGCUAGCUCAGUUGGUUAGAGCGUGGUGCUAAUAACGUCACUGUGAAAGUGGUGCUUACGUAACGCCAAGGUCGUCGGUUCGACCCCGGCGCUGGCCA
rfam:Dichomitus squalens LYAD-421 SS1 unplaced genomic scaffold DICSQscaffold_8, whole genome shotgun sequence.